GAUUAACGCUGGCGGCGUGCCUAACACAUGCCAGUCGAACGAUGAAACUUAGUAGACUUCUUCGGAAAGACACUAAGCGGCUUAGUGGCGAACGGGUGAGUAACGCGUGAGUAACCUGCCUUACACAAGGGGAUAGCCUUUGGAAACGAAGAAUAAUACCCUAUAAAACCAUAAAAGCACAUGCUAGAAUGGUCAAAGUGCUAGCGGUGUAAGAUGGACUUGCGUCUGAUUAGCUAGUUGGUGAGAUAAAAGCUCACCAAGGCAACGAUCAGUAGCCGGCACGGAGGAGUGGACGGCAACAUUGGGACUGGGACAAGGCCCAGACCCCUACGGAAGGCAGCAGUGGGGAAUGUUGCACAAUGGGGGAAACCCUGAUGCAGCGACGCCGCGUAAUUUAGAAGGCCGUCGGGUUGUAAAAAUCUUGUGUAUAGGAAGAAAAUGACAGUACUAUACGAAUAAGGUCCGGCUAAUUACGUG
rnacentral:rRNA from 1 species